AUUGAAGAAGAUUUGCACUGCAUUGCUUGUAGUUGCCUGAACACUGCUUCUUCCUUUUCUAAUUUGUUGAACGUUAUUGUAUUGAAUGAGGCGGUGAUGAUGAUGAGUAUGGUUGUGGCGAGGCGUUUAUGACGCAGCCACUCCUUCUCUCUCUUUCUGAACUUUUUUUUGUUGCCAUCUGCAUUCCAACUUUUUGAGUGUGAGGUUUUGACGAGUUUCUCACUCUCAUUGCCAAUGAUCGAUACUGUGUUUGAGAGAUACUUGUCUCUCUACUACACACCAUCACCACCACCACCAACAUCAACAACAACAACAUAACCCCUCUCUCUCUCUCUCUCUCUCUCUCUCUCUACUUCAUAUUCAAAUUCAUCAUCAAUAAUCAUGUUCAUGACCUUCUUUCUCUCUUCUUCUUUUCGGAGGCAGUGAUGAUGCAUGCAUAAUCAGAUCGAACAUUCUCACUGGCGAGGCGACUACUCCUUGCAGUCGCAGCCACUCUCUCUGAAAAUACGAAUCUAUUUCUAUCUGAGCCUCCUAUUUUUCUCGCACUCUUUCAUUUCCUUACUUUCACUUUCUACUACCAUUAACUUUGUACCCAUUCUAUUUUUCUCUUAUGUUUCUGUGUUCGGAGUCAGAGACUGUGAUAGAUUAGGGUUUGCGUCUGUCUGUGAAUCAAUGAUACAUUACAGAGAGACAAAAAAGCUCUUCAAGGAUCAAAUGAGUUUUAAAUGGCUUUUCUCUUGUUUUUCACCUUGUCUCUUUCUUUUCAGGUGCUACAGACCUAAACCUAAGAUGCUGAAGAAAUAGGAUAUUGAUUCUGUUCAAAAAAUGUAAACAGGGGGCUACUAGCCAAACCACAAGAUGCUAGAGAAAUAGGGCGGUGCAUUGAAAAACACAAGAUGCCAAUAUAUAAAGAUGGUAAACAAAUAGGAUAUUGAUUCUGUUCAAGAAAUGUAAAUGGGGUUCAGAAUACUGUUUGGGCAACGAAGAAUAUUCAAGUUAUCCCUAGUUUAUCUUUGAUCACUUUUAGGUUUGUAAUACACAAAAAGUGUUCUAUUCAGCACACUGCCGUAUACCAUAUUGGAUUAUGUUGUUCCUUCUUGACCUAACUUUUGGCUAUACCUGUUUUCUUUUCCGGUCCUUUCGGGUUUGAUCUUUCAAAAGAUCCAUGACAAAUUGAUUAUCAUCUUAAUACCCAUGACAAAGAGAUAGAUCCUAUAUCAACUGAAAACUUUGUUAAUCUUUAAUGCAAGGGUGGUUGCAGCCUUGUUUAGUUAGUUUUCGUGGUUGAGAACUCACCCAGAUUGGAAAAAGGUUCGGUUUGUUCAACUGUUUCUUUUUGUUUGUUGGGUAUUGAUUUGAAUGAGGCAGUGAUGAUGGAUGGCUCUGGCUAGGCAUUUCUAUCAUGUUGAUGCAGUCAGCCAUCUCUCUUUCUGAGCCUCUCCAUUGGCAACUACUCGAUAACUUGUGUGAGGCUUUGCUGCUCUUAGUGAUCACUCUUUCGUUCUCUGAGUUGCUCUCAUUGCCAAUGAUCAUUCAUACUUCUGUCCACUCUCUACACACAAUAACCAAACACACAAACCCUUCAUGAUCUUCAAUCUUUCUUCUUCUUUUUUGGAAUAUAACAAGGCAGUGAUGAUAUUUCAUGCAACUGAUUCAGACAUUGUGAGCGAAAAAAAGACGUGUAUUGGAGAGGCGACUCUGUGUCUGUGGGUCCUUCCUUCGAUGCUUGUAGUCGCAGUCAUGCUCGUCCUCCUCCUCUUCGCUCUCUUAUCUGACAAACCACCUAAUCUGAGCCUUGUAAUUCUUCAACCCCCCUCUCUUCAUUUUCCCCCCUUUUUGUAGCUUAAUUUUUCUAUCUAGAAAAGAAGUAAAAUCACUCCAACACAGCAGAAUUUGAGCAAACUGCUAUUGUUUACAAAUUGCAAUGUGUUGUCAAAUUGUACCACUGUAGCAUAACAAAAUUUGAUUAAACUUCUAUUUUCCAUUAUCCGUGAUUGACAACACGGUUUCAUUCAUCUACCUCUGCAUUUUUUUUACCUGUGAUUUUUUCCUUUGCUUACUUAUUUUUUCUUAAUGGCACUUGUCCCCCUUUUUAUUGGAGUUUCCGCCUUAUUCCUCCUAAAUUCUCCAUUUAGCACUUCCAUUCAUAUUAUCCUUUGCUUUUUAAUAAUUCUAAUAUUUUUGUCAUUUCUUGACAAUUUUUUUCCUGUUUUGUUUGUAAGUCAGGAGUGAGGCUGAGAUGUAUUAUGACGAGGGUCUGUCUGGUUUCCGUCAUAAAUAUGGACAGAGAAAAGACUCUUGAAGAAUGUUGUUCUCAUAAUCACCUACCUUUAACAUUAUAACCAAUACAAAUUACAUCCCAUUUUUUAUUUCAUCUCUUACUUUUCAGGUGUUACAAACAAAGUACAAGAUUCCAAUAUAUAACAAAGCUAGAAAAAUUGGAAGUUGAUUCUGUUGAAGAAAAGGGCUCUAAAUUAAGACUAUACACCAGGCCAAGAGGCUCUAAAUUAAGAUCAGGUCCUCCUUCUAAGGAAUUUCAUUUCAGCAAUUGGGAAACAUAAAAUAUUGAAAAGAAAGGAGGGAAAUGUUUUAUAGAAGGUAAACAAAAAGGCCGAAGAAAUUGUUAUGACGAAAAGGGCAAAGAUUGUAAAUAGCUCGAAACGUAGAGGUGGUGUUGAGGAGAGGUCAUUAGGGUGAAAUGAAAUGUAAAUUUGGGGGAAGAUAGAUAGCCAAUUGCGAAUGAAGAGGCGGAAUAUAUGUAAGAAAGGAAACAUGUGAAACAUGAAUGCUUGAGAAGAAGGUAGGUAUUGAAGAAAAUUCUCAUUGCAUUGCAUGCAGUUGAAACCGUCCCUGUCCCGUUGCCUUGCCUUGUCUAGUCUUAUUGAAUCGAAUGAGGCAGUGAUGACGGAGGGAUGGUUGUGUGGCAAGGUGUUUUUGACGCAGCCACCACUAACCAUCUCUCUCUUUCUGAGCCUUUUUAGUUGCAUUGCAAGUUUGUGAUUGUGAGGCUUUAAGUUUCUCUCAUUGCCAAUGUUCAUUUUUACUUCACUUCUCCCUACAACAACAAUGAAGUCUUAUCCCACUAAGGCGGGUAGGCUACAUGGAUCAAAUUAUGCCAUAAUGUUCUAUCAAAGACCAUAUUCCUAUCCAAAUUGUUAUUCUCUAAUCUCGAGAUCUUUCUUAAUACACCACACAACAAAUCGUUAUUCUCUAAUCUCGAGAGAUCUUUCUUAAUACAUCACACAACAACAAAACCUGGCUCACUUUCUCUUUCUCUCUCUCUAAGGAGGCAGGGAUGAUGUUUCAUGAAACUAUGGAUAUCGUAUCAGACAUUGUGGGUGAAGAACAAAAGAGCGUUGUCAUGGCGAGGUGACUCCGUUUCUCACAUAGUGACGAACGCACACAGUUGCAGCCAUGCUCCUCUUCACCCUCUUCUCUGACAAAUGCACCAUUAUCUGAGCCUCCUAUUCUUCUUCAACACCCCUACACCUAUCCAGUCGAUGGAUUGAAUUUGUCUGGUUUUAGUGUGAAUCAAUAAUAUUCAGAGACAAAAGUCUCUUCAAGGAUGGAUUCUGUAUAACUUUCUCUCGUUUUAUGCCUCAUCUCUCUUUUCAGGUGAUACAAUAAAAAACACAAAAAUGCCAAUAUCUAAGGAUGCUAACCAAAUAGGAUCUUGAUUCUGUCCAAGAAAUGUAAAUGAGGUGUUAACAACAAUGAAAUAAAACACGAGUUCCCAAUGUAUAAAGAAGCUAAACAAAUAGGAAGUCAGUCUGUCGAAGAGAUGUACUAGUGUUUGCUCUUAAAUUUGUAGUUCUUUCUCUACAAUCACAUCCAUUAUUUAGUGCAAGCUGGCCUGUCUUGGGAGCUUGAUCAGACUCAGAAACUCGGUCCUCAAGCCAAACCUGGUCCCCAAUUUUCUUAUGUUGUAAAUUGUAAAUACGUAGGAAUUGUAUGUCAGUAAUUGCUGUCUCUUUUUAUAUAUGUUGAGUAUUGAAUUUCA